rnacentral:rRNA from 1 species
UACGGAGGGUGCAAGCGUUGUCCGGAAUCAUUGGGCGUAAAGCGUUCGUAGGCGGUUUAUCAAGUCUGGUGUUAAAUCCCGAGGCUCAACUUCGGAUCUGCACUGGAUACUGGUAGGCUAGAAUGAGGUAGAGGUAAUGGGAAUUCCUGGUGUAACGGUGAAAUGUACAGAUAUCAGGAGGAACAUCGGUGGCGUAAGCGCAUUACUGGGCCUUUAUUGACGCUGAGGAACGAAAGCUAGGGUAGCAAAC